CGAAAAGUUAUAGCUGUAGUUAUGGUAACGCUAACAGUCAUUUGUUGCUGUUGGACAUCACAACAAAUAUCAUGAAGAAUAAAACGUUCAAUAACUUUUUCCAAUCUUUAUGGGACAAACAGAAAUUGAACGGGAAAAAAUCAAGGAACAAUAAAAGCGUAAGCUUUCCUAGUGGGAUACUUCUGCUGUUGAUAGUUAGGAUGAUAGUAGUUAUACGGACUGCCCCAGAUUGUCCUCUCAGCGGCUGAAAUAUCAUAAUAGAACAGACUUUUGGCAAUGUUACUGACACAGAAAGGUGGUAAUGACUUGGUUGUGAACACCCAGAGCGCGAUACAUCAAUGCUGACACAGAAAGGCAGUAAUGACUUGGUUGUGAACACCUCGAGCACGAUACAUCCAUGCUGACACAGAAAGGCAGUAAUGACUUGGUUGUGAACACCCAGAGCAUGAUAAAUCCAUGCUGACAUAGAAAGGCAGUAAUGACUUGGUUGUGAAAUCCCAGAGCACGAUACAUCCUUGGGGUGUGCAUCAGAAGCGAAUUCUGCAUAUUAUUGUAAACAAGUUGCUAACAGUGAACACGUCUGGUUUGGUUAUGAGCACUUCCCACUCAGAGCCCAAAGGUCCUCGCAUUGAAUCGAUGCAAACGAAGACUUUAUAAAAUGACAGCAGUUGUGUUGUGAUGUCCAGAAAUCCUUUCAACUGUCAACCUGAAGUUUAUCAAAACUCAAACUCAGCCCUUUGCAAAAUCACACCUUGCAACACAGUGUACUAUACCAUGAAUGUUUCGCGGUUUAAAACACCAAAAUUUCAAUUUAAAAUUAGUGCGUGUAACAUAUUGAUACAUUGCUAUUCUGAGUUCUAAUUGCGAUAUCCUAAAUAUCAAUAAUAGAUGAAAUGUUUGGCAUUAAAAAAACAGGUGUGUAAAGUAAUUUGUUACAGUGCAUAUUUAUUUGUCACUAAAAAAUCAGGGUUUAGUUUGCUUGUCAUUUCAUUUUUAGCAAACAUUAUUAGACAACAAAACGAACGUCGUUUAAGUGAAAUUCCAAGACAAUUACGACCCAGUUUGGGCACAAAUACAACAACUAAUUAAAGAAAUUCAGUUUUUCUUGCGUCAGCCUACAUGUAGCAAGCCUCUUAUAAACAUGUCCCAAGUUGGCUUCAUCAACGCUUCCAACAGCGGAGUUGGGCAUCGACACAUUGUUCCGAACGAAUCGCUCGAACUGAACUGAUCUGAUCCAACAGAGAGCAGGCUCUGCGUGACUCGUCUGUUAAUGUGACUGACCUCGAUAUGUUGCUUUCCAAUAAUGUGAGCCUUACUCCAGAUUAGCUGUCUGCGAUUGACGCAAUUCAACAACAGUUGUUGUCAGGAAUUCCCGGCUUUGCCUGUUCCUACAGGAUCCCAUGCAAUCAUAGAUCGGUACCUAGCUGAACAACAGGCAGACCUGGUCAGCUGGGCCCAGACGCCCAGUGAAACUUCCUGGCCCAGGACCUUCGGGCAAAUGCUCAACUAGUCCUACCCGCAGGGUGGAGCCACACUGAACCUGGGGCUCCAUACUUUCUUGGCCAGGGGCCAAGAUUACCUUGUCAAUAAGGGACACAUUUCUGGGAUGCCCUAAGGUUUUUCUAUCUGUUCACAGAGGCCUUAUACUCACAAGUUCAAGCCAAGUGAGCGAUGUUCACCAAAUCAAACUCUACAUCUCAAUAAAAACCCGGAUAGCAAAGCGUUGGUUUGUUUUUGAAGCAUUUGAACCAGCAACAGUCAUCAUUGGAGUUUCUGACAUGUCUAUGGUGUGGAACCCUUAGUCUAUGAACAUCAUAACAGCACAUGAACCAGCAGCAGUCAUCAUCUCAAGAUUCUGGUAUAUCCAAUGUACAGGACCCUUAGUCUGUACAGAUCUUGCAGAACAAACUUCAGAUGCACUUUGAGGAAAUCAAACCAUCCAAUCAGAAACACAGCCUGUUGCAGCAAUUGUUAACAUAUUGACCCCAGUCAAACCUAAGAAGCUCAGAGUUACAUACCGUUAAGAUGUGCUAGUCUUCACAUACCUGCUGGUUUGUUCAAAACUUACUCUGAAUCUUUGAAUGUAAUGACAGAUGAAAAUGAAUGACCUUGUUCAGAUCCAAAUGGCAGAAUGACACAUCACAACAAUUCAAGUGGAAAGCCACAAAGUCAUGUCAACAGCCACAUGUUGUAUGUUGCCAGCCAAGUUGUAUUAAAAAACACAAUAGCUUACGUUUUAUGUUAUAUGUGACCAACCAAGUUAUAUUCAUACAAAAACAAUAGUUCAUGUUUUAUGGGAAUUUUUAUGCUGUCAGUCUUUAUGUUGAAAUAUUGUGUUCAAUAUAGCAUGUUAAGUAUUUUAAAAGCACGCAUAUUGCACGUAUAUGCAAUCUCUUUGUCUAUAUUAUGAUAUCACUACAUAUGUGAUCCUGAUAAUGGUAAACUAAUGGGAAAUACACUUUUAUCAAAGACUUUCAAAGUGUGACAAAGCUGUUUAAAUGAGGUUGGUAACUUGGACAACAUUAAACAUGUUUCAGUUUUCUGUUUUAAACCCAUAUUAUAGAUAAGCUAGAUAAAAGUAGUAUAAAGAAAGGUUUAGAAGUUUUACGCUUCAGCUUUUUCUGUUUAUCAAUCUUUCUUAAAAAAAUACUAGUAAAUUUGCUCAUUUGGGUGGGUAUUCGAACAAGAAUCUUGUUUAAUAGCAUUCGUGGAAAUCUAAAUAAAUUAUAUGCACACUUUUGUAAUGAACCUAAAAGUAUCGAUUAUGUAUUUACCACCAGUACUUUGUUGAUUUCAAUGGAUAUUGUUUGUUAAAUAUUCGAGAAUGGCUCUUGCAUUUUUGGGAAAACUUUAAGGAAAACUGAAAAUUUAAAAAUAUAUAUUUUUUUAGAGUUUUAUGAAAAAAUUGCAAAAGUUAUAAAUGUUAAUUUGUGUUGUUAGAUCAUAGACUAAGAUGCUCAUAAGUGUUUAAAUUUAUUUUCGGACAUAAUACCGGUAGUUUAUAAUGCUUUAUAUUUGUAUAUGCAUAUGAAGACGACCUAAAUGUAUCCUCUUUAAUCACUGAGUAUCUUAAUCAAUAUCUCUUGAUCACUGCAUACAUUGUAGAAGUAUAUUUUGACAUUUAUACACAGAGCAACUGUGAAACAAUAGUAUUUUAAAUGUACACUAUUUAUUUAUUGUUGCAAUUUUUAUGAGAUAAACUCACUGUUUACAUUAAUUUGUACAAACCAUAGUCAUAAAAAUAUUGAUUGUGUGAAUCCUCAUAUAUGUAUUAAACUGUUAAAAUAAUGCACAGUAACAGAUUCUGAAGAGAAAAUUGUACUCAAUGAAAUAUAAACACCUUGUUAUAUCAACUGCUUUUAAUAAAGUACAACUACUUAAAAUAAGUUUAAUUUUGUUUUACAUUAUCUAAAGAAAAUUUAGUACCUUGUUAUUUGAAAUUAGUCAUUCACAAAUUAAGGAAGAGUGUUGUCAUAUGCUAACAAUUGUCAAAAAAUGCAAUUGUCUAUAUUGGUAAAGUAGAGAGCAAUAGUAUUUGCUUAAAAAAAUAAAAACAACGAUGUCUGCUUUGUAAGUGUAUGUGGAAUAAACACUUAUGUUUGUGCUCAUAUUAAACGUGAAAGUAUUGACGUAUUGCUGAUAAUAAAGUUUGACAUUUUAUUAGUUUUGUAACAAUGUGUUUGAUCUUUUAUGUUAACAUUCUCACAAUUGAUGUCAGUGCAGUGCCUUCAAUGGAGCCAUUUUCUGUAAAUCUCCCACUGUUAAAGUUCAGCAAAAGUUUUAAGACCAGAUUUCCUUAAACUUGGGGUUGUUUAUAUUUAACAUUUAUUGAAUGCAUGAAACAUGUUUGUUCUGUUGUUGAAUAGCUGAACAUUGAUGUAUGUAAAUUGUGUGACAUGUUGAUCAAAUUGAUACAUAGAAACAAACACUCAUUAUGCGUUAAUUUGUAUGUUAAGCUAAACAAAAAAUGUUACCAAACACAAAUAUAAGUAUUUGGUAACAAUAUACAAAAUUGUGCUAUAUUCGUAAAACCGUAUCAAAUGCAAUUUGAAAUAUAAUGUUCAAAUAUGUUCGUCGACUCCAAAUAAGCAUUUUGAAUAAGCAAAUUAAUACAUUAAUAAUCCCUAUGGAAAGUACCCGUAGGCACUUUUCAAUCGCUUGUGUACUUCAUAUUGAUCAGGGUCUUUCUAAAUUCAUGCAUGAUUUUGUAUGCGUAUGUCUGAAUUGUGUAAAUAUCUGUUAAAUAACUGAUAAAAAGGAUUUUAAUAUUAUAAGUUAAAAUAGUGUCUAAACUGUAACCGGUCAUUUGUUGCAUUGAUUUUUACGUGUUUAUAUUUUCUGGCUUACUGUGCUUAAUUCUGUCUGUAAUCGUGCGUACUUUUAUUGUGGUUUUCGUAUUAAGACAAAGCGCACUACACUAAUGCUGUUGUUUUUGUCCACCAUUUCUAUAUAAAAUGUUGUAUGUAAAUAAUUAAAGAUGUUGAUGUUGGUAAUAAUGUAUUUCAUGAUCUAAUAUUGAUCAUGCACUCAAUAAAAUACAUAACCAUUUUUGUGGACUAGUAUUGUUUAGUGAUACUUUGUUGUUAUUACUAAUAAAAUCGUCAAGGAU